GACGAACGCUGGCGGCGUGCUUAACACAUGCCAGUCGAACGGUGAAGCGCCUUCCUUGUUGGUGGGUGUGGAGGAGUGGCGGACGGGUGAGUAAGACGAGAGUAACCUGCCCCCUCCUGCUGGAUAACCGCAUGAAGGUGUGGCUAAUACGGGAUAUUCUGGGUCUGUCGGAUGAUGGGUCUGGGACGGAUUUUGUGUCGGUGGGGGAUGGAUUCGCGCCCUAUCAGCUUGUUGGUGGGGUGAUGGCCUACCAAGGCGGUGACGGGUAGCCGGCCUGAGAGGGUGGGCGGUCAUACAGGGGCUGAGCGACGGACAAGCCUCCGACGGGAGGCAGCAGUGAGUAUUAUGGCACAAGGGGAGCAAGGCUGAUGCAGCGACGCCGCGUGGAGGAUGGACUCCGUCGGGUUGAGAACCUCUAUCGCCAGUGAAGAAGGGUUGCCUCGUCUGUGGGUGGGUUGACGGUAGCUAGACAAGAAGCGCCGGCUAACUACGUG
rnacentral:rRNA from 1 species